UGAUCAGUUUGAUUAAUACUGGUUGUUGUGCUUUCAAUCAAUGGCAUCACUGUUUAGAUAAUUUAAUUGCGAAUAAUUGUGGGAAUAAUGCAAUGGAAGCAAUAAAUAAUUUAAUUGAAAAAGCAUCGGGAGGUUUUGUCUACAAUUUAUGUACUAAAGACGGCUAUAAUCCGGGA